CCCUUAGAUGUUCUGGGCCGCACACGCGCUACACUGAAGGAGGCAGCGUGUACUCCUGGAUCGAAAGAUUUGGGUAACCCGCGAAUCUCCUUCGUGCUAGGGAUUGAGGUUUGCAAUUAUCCUUCAUGAACGAGGAAUUCCCAGUAAGUGCAAGUCAUAAGCUUGCGCUGACUACGUCCCCGCCCUUUGUACACACCACCCGUCGCUACUACCGAUUGAAUGAUUUAGUGAGGACUUCGGACUGGGACCGAUGCGGCUUUCGGGCUGCGUCGGUAUUCUGGAAAGAUGUCCAAACUGUAUCAUUUAGAGGAAGUAAAAGUCGUAACA
rnacentral:rRNA from 1 species